CACAAGUUCCUCAACCACCUUCCUUGCCUUCUUAGCCAUCGAAGAUCCCGUCUUUUUCACAUUCGUCGCAGCUUUGCUUUUCUUACGACCUGUCAUCUUUCUCACUCGAAUAGGAUCAUCAUUAGACAAGAAAUCAGUGAUCAAUUGAGGAACAAGGUUUAAUCCCACACCUGGUACCCGGUUUACUUAGUGCAGAUCUAAAUACUGCAUUAAUACCAUGGUAACGACGUGCCACCAACAUUUUAGAUUUAAUCUUUAGUGGAGGGUAUGGUUCAAUCACUUUAGGGUGUUUGAGUUAUAAUGGGUAACGGUCAAAAAUUAUAUCACCGUUUCAUCAAUCAUCAUCGGUGACUAUACACCGAAAUAUGCUAUCACCAUACCCCGAAUCAUCAUCAUCGAAUCAACGGCAAUCAUUCACCGAUCGGUGAAUGGCAUACCCCGAUCAUUUCACCGAACCAUACCGAGUACCCUAAAGUAUUAUAUUGUUUAUAUUAUCACGAGACAAAUGUUUGCUUUUUCACAGUUACAUUAGAUUCUGCCCAUAAGUUUUUGUUAACUUUGAUAUUUAUCACGACACAGGUGUUUGCCGUUUCACAGUUGUUGCAGUUCGUUUGUGUUUCCAUAAGAGGGGUUACCGUUUAUCCUCUGUUUUGUUUGCGAAGCUAGGUAAAGCUCUAAUUUCAUUUACUAAUUUGUUUUAUCUUAGUUGAAACCUUGAAUUGUUGUUUUUUUGCUUCGAUUUUGUUGCGGUAAGAUUAGGGCGUCUAGCUUUGUUAAUCAUUUUUUCAUCUGUCUGUAGCCGGAAUUGUAAAAUGUAAAUACUCUUGUUUGGGUCUGGUUGUUUUCGCUUUUUUUUGCUAUUUACUUGUGCACUUAGGCUCUAUGUUUUACAUUUCAUUUUUGCUGCCUUUUAUGCUGUUUUUUUACUGUACACUGCUGUUUUUUCUAUUGUUGUUUGCAGUUUCACACUACGGGUUGUGAUGGGUUAGGAAGUCAAUUUACCGGACGCUUUUCGCCUUUUUAUAUAUUGUUUUUUCUGCUAUUUGUUGCUGUUUUUCUCGUUGUUUUGUGCAGUUAAACUACCUUUUCGAAAGUAACAGUAUGUAUGUUUCGGGUACUGUUAUUAUAUUAA